AUAAGUGAUAUAUAAUCAUGUAAUAUGUAUUGUUAAUAGUGGAAGAUGUUAAAAAUAUCCAAGUUUACGAUUCAAAUAUUUGUGUUUCUUUCAGAAAGCAAAUGUAUCUGAGUAGGAGGAAUUUAGCUAUAUUUCACAUCAUGGAGGCAAAAUCUGCAAAAUUUAAAAAUGGAGAGCAAUAGUAUAGAAAGGAAUUGCUUUACAGGUGUUGCUUUAAAUUACAUUUUUGUAGAUGAUGAAGCAUGCAGGAGACUUCUGUUGCAUUCCUUCGAGCAUAGUUGUUUUCUCAUCACAUCUGUCUGACAUGUUAUAGUGUUACUGUAAGUUUGCCUCCCUGCUCUGUGGUUCAUGGAAGGAAUUUUGUUGCAUGUUUCCACCCCA
rnacentral:lncRNA from 1 species